ACUUAUUUAGAAAUACGUGUCUGACUUGUCUAACACCAAUGUCUGUAUCUCCAACUGCUAUGGAAAUCUCCUCGCGUCAAAAAUAUCAGAUGACACAGUGGGGUACUGAUAUUUUCUUUUUUCCUCCUCGUCUCUCAAACCCUAGGUCUGGUGCAUGCAAGCUUGUGUACAGGGCUGCACAUCCUAAGCCUUUUUGUGAAUGGUGUUUGAGCCAGGCAUGUGCCGGCGAUAACGGGCGAGUUGGCAUGAAGAGAGGCAGAGAUGGAUUAAUUAUGCAGAGAACAUGGAAAUUCUGCUUAUCAUCGGCUAGCAAAGGAGCCCGGCUCACAUAAUCAGCAAACGAAGGGAGAGGAAAAAAUAACAAUGCAAUGGCACCUUCCAGCCCAUCAUCAGGAUUUUUUCUACCCCCCCUUGUAAUUAAAAAAUAACAUACACUUAUAGCCCUAUCUCCUGUGCAGGCAAAGAGUGGUUGUCCACAAAAUAAUUGCACUGGGAUAUUAGAGCUGGCAACAUGGGCUGUCCAUUCCUGCUUGCUUUCCCUCACCCUCUUUCUCUUUUGGCCUCUCAAGGCACUUUGCUUCUGAACUCAAUCCAAAUCAGACGGAUGUCUCAGGUGACAUUCUAGCUCACUUUCCAAAAAUCCCAAAUAGUUACCUUAUCAUGAUCCAAGCAAACAUAUAUACAUAUAUGACAAAUAUUUGAAAGUCUGACUCUGGGGGGAAGGCUUGGUAAUGAUCACCUGUGGACUAUCUGGUCAAUUUUAUUUUUAUUUUUGAUGAAAUCCAUCCAAAUAGCCUGCAUUUUGCAAAGUGACUGGAUUAAAACGGUGGGCUGUGCAAUGGCUAUGUUAAUCUUCUCAAACGAUUUUACUUACUUACAACUUUUUGUUUCUUUUUUUUCCCCUCUUUCCCAGUUUAUUUUAUAAAUUCAAGUAUAUAUAGUUAAUGACUGCAAUGUUUGUGCCUCAAAUCAGAAUUCACAGUUCUGUAUCUGUACUCUAAAUCUGACAGCUUAAUGCUUUGUAUUUCUCUAAAUGCCAAGAGAUGACAAUGACCCUAGUUUAUUGCCUGAAAGAAAAUAAAAUUUAACCUCACACUUG
rnacentral:lncRNA from 1 species